AGUGAACGCUGGCGGCAGGCCUAACACAUGCAAGUCGAGCGGCAGCGCGGGGGCAACCCUGGCGGCGAGCGGCGGACGGGGGAGGAAUUCGUCGGAAUCUGCCUUUUUGGGGGGGAGAACGUAGUGAAACUUACGCUAAUACCGCAUACGUCCUACGGGAGAAAGUGGGGGACGGCAAGGCCUCACGCAGAAAGAUGAGCCGACGACCGAUUAGCUAGUUGGUGGGGUAAAGGCCUACCAAGGCGAGGAUCGGUAGGUGGUCUGAGAGGGUGAGAAGCCACCCUAGGACUGGGCCAGGGCCAAGACUCCUAAGGGACGCCGCAGUGGGCAAUAUUGGACAAUGGGCGCAAGCCUGAUCCAGCCAUCCCGAGUGUGUGACGACGGCCUUCCGGUUGUAAAGAACUUUUGUCCGGAAAGAACUCCCUGGGGCUAAUACCUUCGGGGGAUGACGGUACCGGAAGAAUAAGCACCGGCUAACUUCGUG
rnacentral:rRNA from 1 species